rnacentral:rRNA from 1 species
GACGAACGCUGGCGGCGUGCUUAACACAUGCAAGUCGAACGGAAAGGCCCUGCUUGCAGGGUACUCGAGUGGCGAACGGGUGAGUAACACGUGGGUGAUCUGCCCUGCACUUCGGGAUAAGCUUGGGAAACUGGGUCUAAUACCGGAUAGGACCGCACUUUAGUGUGUGUGGUGGAAAGUUUUUUCGGUGUAGGAUGAGCUCGCGGCCUAUCAGCUUGUUGGUGGGGUAAUGGCCUACCAAGGCGGCGACGGGUAGCCGGCCUGAGAGGGUGUACGGCCACAUUGGGACUGAGAUACGGCCCAGACUCCUACGGGGGGCAGCAGUGGGGAAUAUUGCACAAUGGGCGCAAGCCUGAUGCAGCGACGCCGCGUGGGGGAUGAAGGCCUUCGGGUUGUAAACUCCUUUCGCUAGGGACGAAGCUUUGUUGUGACGGUACCUAGAUAAGAAGCACCGGCUAACUACGUG